rnacentral:rRNA from 1 species
GUCUAUUUGAGGUAUAUGUAUAGUCUAGCCUGCUCACUGACAAAAAUGUUAAAUAGCCGCGGUAUUUUGACCGUGCAAAGGUAGCAUAAUCAUUAGUUUUUUAAUUGAAAACUUGUAUGAAUGGUUGGACAAAGAAAAAGCUGUCUCUUUUAUUUGAAUUGAAAUUAACUUCUAAGUGAAAAGGCUUAGAUUUUUUAGAGGGACGAUAAGACCCUAUAAAGCUUUAUAAGUUAAGUAAGUUAAAUUAAUUUUUUAAAAUAAAAAUAAGCUUAAAAAAUUUAUUUGGUUGGGGCGACAAUGGUAUAAAUUAAAUAACUGCUAUUAAAAUUAAGCAAUUAUAUUUGAUUAGAAUUAUAAUUGAUCCUUAUUAUGGAUUAAAAGAUCAAGUUACUUUAGGGAUAACAGCGUAAUUUCUUUUGAGAGUUCUUAUCAAAGAAGAAGUUUGCGACCUCGAUGUUGAAUUAAAAUGUCUUUAUAGUGCAGAAGCUAUAAAAGAAGGUCUGUUCGACCUUUAAUUUUUUA